rnacentral:lncRNA from 1 species
GGUGUGUGUGUGUGUGUGUGUGUGUGUGUGUGUGUGACUGAAUGAGAGAGGAUAUCAUCCUAUGAUCCAGCAGGCUGGCCUAGAAUUCACUGAGGAGUUUAUGUUGGCCUCCAACAUGAAGUCUCUUCCUGCAGAAGCCAGGAGAGGGCAUUUGACCUCCUUUUACUGAGGUUACAGACAGUUGUGAGCACCAUGUGGGUACUGAAAACCAAAACUAGAUCCUCUGGAAAAGCC